rnacentral:tRNA from 1 species
UGGGGAUUAGCCAAGUCGGUAAGGCAUGACUUUGACUCAUGUAUGCGUAGGUUCGAGUCCUGCAUCCCCAGCCA